GCCCUUGCUCUUUCUAUCCAGCAGAACUACACUGAACCCGGAGCAGCUAAUGGGAUGGGAAGGCCUGAGUCAUUUGAUGGGAGGGAUGAAGAGGCAAUGGAGCCCUCAGCCUGAGGACAGAGUGGGAAACUGCAGGCAGGGGAGGUCGACCCCUCGUGAGGGGCUGGCGGUUGGGUAGGCGCUUCCCAGACAAGGGUGAGGUGACGGUAAGGAGGGCCUAGGCCACGCCAGGUAAGCUUGUAAACGAAUCUGCAGAGGGGUGAUGGGUUAGGAGGGCUCAGCCAGGGUAGGGGCGUUGGUUGGUUGGGGGAUUCCACGGCUAAGCAGAGCUUGGGAACCGGCAAGGACGGGCGAGAAGGCUACCCUGCAGGUCACACCAGGAAGACAGGUACGCGGAGCCGGGCCUGGCCCAGCGCAGCCGCGCUCCUCGCUAUCCCUCUGGUCUCCGGGAGCCGUCCCCAGCGUCGUGGGGUCGUCCUCCUCCAGGGGCCCGCGGCCUCUCACCUGCCAGGUGGCCGCAGCGCCUCCCCUCCUCCUCCAUCUCGCAGUCCGGACCCCGGCUCCGCCUGCCGCUCCGGAUGAUGCAGGACUAGAGGUAUCAUCGCCAUCGCCAACGCCUCCGCGCAUCCCGGGAGCCGCGGCAAGACGCGGGCGCAGAGGCGCAGUCACGGAGACGCCCAGGGCACCGCCCCCUCCGCCGGACACCGGGCCUGGUGCCCCGCCUGCGCCCCGCACCCUCCGCGCCUCCGCCGCGGCGUCCCGGGGCCCAGAGCCCGGACACUUCCGCUGCCCGCCGCACGAGGGGCGCUUGAGCCAGGUUUUUCAGGCUCGCGGUUUUGCUGUUUGGGGAACUCAGGCUUCCUGCUAUAGCCAAAACCUGAAACGCAGAGCAAAGUGGAGUGGGAAGGAAGGGAAAGAUAGGGGUACUGAUGGCACGCAGGGACCCAGGGAGGUCUUUGCGGGCCUCCCUAGGCUGCUUACCCUGCCCGCAGCCCACCUCCUCCACGUUCCCCGAAAUUGGCGGCGGCUUCCGGUUUGGAACUUUGAGACCUAGAUUUUACAAAUCAAGUCAUUGUAAUAUAAUUUAAAUUAAACCAAUUUGAACUUACCUAAGCUCUCUUAAGGUAU
rnacentral:lncRNA from 1 species